GAUGAACGCUGGCGGCGUGCCUAAUACAUGCAAGUCGAGCGAGCGGACGAGAAGCUUGCUUCUCUGAUGUUAGCGGCGGACGGGUGAGUAACACGUGGAUAACCUACCUAUAAGACUGGGAUAACUUCGGGAAACCGGAGCUAAUACCGGAUGAUAUUUUGAACCGCAUGGUUCAAAAGUGAAAGACGGUCUUGCUGUCACUUAUAGAUGGAUCCGCGCUGCAUUAGCUAGUUGGUAAGGUAACGGCUUACCAAGGCAACGAUGCAUAGCCGACCUGAGAGGGUGAUAGGCCACACUGGAACUGAGACACGGUCCAGACUCCUACGGGAGGCAGCAGUAGGGAAUCUGACGCAAUGGGCGAAAGCCUGACGGAGCAACGCCGCGUGAGUGAUGAAGGUCUUCGGAUCGUAAAACUCUGUUAUUAGGGAAGAACAGAUGUGUAAGGAACUGUGCACAUCGUGACGGUACCUAAUCAGAAAGCCACGGCUAACUACGUG
rnacentral:rRNA from 1 species